rnacentral:misc_RNA from 1 species
UCCGGUUUGGCACCGGCAGUCUCCCAUGAGUCCCCGACAUAACUCGCUGGCAACAUGGAACAGGGGUUGCGCUCGUUGCGGGACCUAACCCAACAUCUCACGACACGAGCUGACGACAGCCAUGCAGCACCUGUGCAGGAGUCCCGAAGGACACCCCGGGUUUCCCCAGGAUUUCCCCUGCAUGUCAAGCCCUGGUAAGGUUCUUCGCGUUGCGUCGAAUUAAACCACAUGCUCCACCGCUUGUGCGGGCCCCCGUCAAUUCCUUUGAGUUUCAGCCUUGCGGCCGUACUCCCCAGGCGGGGCACUUAAUGCGUUAGCUGCGGCACCCAGGGGGUCAAUACCCCGGACACCUAGUGCCCAUCGUUUACAGCGUGGACUAC